UACGGGGGGGGGCAAGCGUUGUUCGGAAUUACUGGGCGUAAAGGGCUCGUAGGCGGCCAACUAAGUCAGACGUGAAAUCCCUCAGCUUAACUGGGGAACUGCGUCUGAUACUGGAUGGCUUGGAUUCGGGAGAGGAAUGCGGAAUUCCAGGUGUAGCGGUGAAAUGCGUAGAUAUCUGGAGGAACACCGGUGGCGAAGGCGGCAUCCUGGACCGGUAUUGACGCUGAGGCGCGAAAGCCAGGGGAGCAAAGCGGG
rnacentral:rRNA from 1 species